GACGAACGCUGGCGGCGUGCCUAAUACAUGCAAGUUGAGCGAUGAAGCUUGGUGCUUGCACCAAUUUGAAGAGCAGCGAACGGGUGAGUAACGCGUGGGGAGUCUGCCUUUGAGCGGGGGACAACAUUUGGAAACGAAUGCUAAUACCGCAUAAUAACUUUAAACAUAAGUUUUAAGUUUGAGAGAUGCAAUUGCAUCACUCAAAGAUGAUCCCGCGUUGUAUUAGCUAGUUGGUGAGGUAAAGGCUCACCAAGGCGAUGAUACAUAGCCGACCUGAGAGGGUGAUCGGCCACAUUGGGACUGAGACACGGCCCAAACUCCUACGGGAGGCAGCAGUAGGGAAUCUUCGGCAAUGGACGAAAGUCUGACCGAGCAACGCCGCGUGAGUGAAGAAGGUUUUCGGAUCGUAAAACUCUGUUGGUAGAGAAGAACGUUGGUGAGAGUGGAAAGCUCAUCAAGUGACGGUAACUACCCAGAAAGGGACGGCUAACUACGUG
rnacentral:rRNA from 1 species